rnacentral:lncRNA from 10 species
CUUGGUUUACAGUCCCGAAGUAUGUAUCUGCUGAAUUGUCCUUUAGUUGAUUCUCUCGGGUUUCCAAGUUAUGCCUUUUCCCCUUGGGCAGCCGAGGGAGCACAGCUUCUCCACUCAGCCCCUCUUUGGUUUGCUUGCCUCCACUGUCAGGAAAUUCCACCUUAAGUACCCUAACCCUCUCCCUGUGAUGAUGGGGUUUGGACAGACUGAUGGGCAUAGGACUCUUCCCAGUCGCUCCCUGUGCUCCAGAAAAGCUGAAGGCAGACUGGAAACAUAUUAAAUACCUGCAGGAGCCCCACUCACCAGGAUCCACAGCAGGCUGCAUUAGGGGUUCCAGAUGCAGCCAAGGACGGAGAGCCUACUCAGGAGGAGGAAGGAGUGAGAAUAAAAGGACGUGGGUCUGAGGGGACCAGGGAAAAGACACAGAAGUCAAGAGAAGCGGUUCUUCUGAUCAACCCGCUGGAGGAGAAGGGAGAUGGUGCUGGUGGCCUUGAGAAUCAAGGGCUGAGAACCCAGGCUUGAUGCAGAGAGCUUGGUGAGGAGUCAGCAGCCAACUAAACUGGCUGCUUGAAUCCUACAGCUGGUGACAGUGGAACUGGAUAUGGUGUGCAUGUAUGUGAUUCUCAGAAACCAGCAAAGGAGACGGUGCAUUCCAGGGAGACGCUGAGGGUGUCACCCAAUAGGGAUCUACAGCUGUUGAUUUUCAGAUGUGCUCCACAGACCCCCUGGGGGUUCCAUGGACGCCACCAGGAGCAGUCGACUACUUUUGGGCCCAGGUUUGAGGGUCGUGAAACAGGGCAAUUCCACUUUGACAACUUUUACACUGGAACAUCCAUGUUAGGUUUCUUCUGGAGAAAGCACUUUGGCUAAAUCAGUCAGAAUGGCCCGGAACUAGGUAGCCUCCAUGUGUGCCUAUUUCAGGAAAGAGCAGACAUCACUCAGCUUUCCAUAUGGAAGGGGGUCGAGAUGGCUUAAGCUGACACAGGGAAACGAGGAGGACAGGAUCUUGUCUGUGCAGCCAGGCCUCCCGGGAACCUAGGGGAAGAAGAGUCACCAGGCGCCAGUGUUGGGAGUGCAGCAUGGCCAAGUUGCUGGGAGGCGAAAGUGAAACGUGUUUAGGGUUAAAGGAGGCCAGAGGACUCAGCAGCAGAAGCUGAGCACACGGCUUCAGUCUAGUGACUUCACAACUCUCUCCACCUCCGCCUCCCCCGGGGGUGCUUCUCUUUUCUCCCCCUUUCUCUCUUCCAACUGGCUAAUUAUCACUAGACUUCCCCAUUCAAAUUCCUGGGAAACAUGGCCAGGGCCUGUCAUCAGCUUUCCUUGGUCUUUUUACUUGUGGCACAAUCCUGUGGCUCAGAAUGCAACCAAUCCCGUGCCAGGAGAACCCUGGGGCUCCCAACCCCAGCAGAGGCUGUAGAGGUGCCACAGAUUCCCUUGGAAGGGCAGCAGGUGAUAUAAGCAACUGGGAUGUCCUGUCUGUGAGGCUUCCCAGGCAUCGUGACUGACCUGCCUGAAGGCCUGGCUGGCAUUGUGCUGGCCUACCUAGGACAUUCAACUGUUUGCUUGCCAGGCUCUCAAGGCCUUCUUCCUCUUGAUGCAGUUCCAACAAUGUCCCUACCUACCACAGCCUAUUUCACAUGCAGAUGCUGGUGCACACACCCCCUCAGCCGCUGGUUGGUAGGAUCCAUAAGUGAUGGUGCGGGACUACAUUAUUAUUUUAUCUUAUAUAAUCAUGCACCCCAUAAUGACAUUUUGGUCAACAAUGAAGUAUAUACACAAUGGUAGUCCCAUGAGAUCAUAAUGGAGCUAAAAAAUCCCUAUCAUCUAGUGAUGCCAUAGCCAUUAUAACAUCGCAGUCCAACACAUUACCUUGUCUAUGUUUGGAUUCACAAAUACUUGCCUUUGUGUUAUAAUUGCCUACAGUAUUCAGUACAGUAACAUGUUGUACAGGUUUGUGUCUAGGAGCAAUGGGCCUAUAUAGCAAUAGGACCAUAUAGCCUAGGGGUACAGCAGGCUAUACCAUCAAGGUUUGUCUAAG